GAUGAACGCUGGCGGCGUGCCUAAUACAUGCAAGUCGAGCGAACAGACGAGGAGCUUGCUCCUCUGACGUUAGCGGCGGACGGGUGAGUAACACGUGGAUAACCUACCUAUAAGACUGGGAUAACUUCGGGAAACCGGAGCUAAUACCGGAUAAUAUAUUGAACCGCAUGGUUCAAUAGUGAAAGACGGUUUUGCUGUCACUUAUAGAUGGAUCCGCGCCGCAUUAGCUAGUUGGUAAGGUAACGGCUUACCAAGGCAACGAUGCGUAGCCGACCUGAGAGGGUGAUCGGCCACACUGGAAAUGAGAAACGGGCCAGACUCCUACGGGAGGCAGCAGUAGGGAAUCUUCCGCAAUGGGCGAAAGCCUGACGGAGCAACGCCGCGUGAGUGAUGAAGGUCUUCGGAUCGUAAAACUCUGUUAUUAGGGAAGAACAAAUGUGUAAGUAACUAUGCACGUCUUGAAGGUACCUAAUCAGAAAGCCACGGCUAAAUACGUG
rnacentral:rRNA from 1 species